GGGGGAUAUUGCACAAUGGGGGAAACCCUGAUGCAGCGACGCCGCGUGGAGGAAGAAGGUUUUCGGAUUGUAAACUCCUGUCGUUAGGGACGAUAAUGACGGUACCUAACAAGAAAGCACCGGCUAACUACGUGCCAGCAGCCGCGGUAAAACGUAGGGUGCAAGCGUUGUCCGGAAUUACUGGGUGUAAAGGGAGCGCAGGCGGGAAGACAAGUUGGAAGUGAAAACCAUGGGCUCAACCCAUGAAUUGCUUUCAAAACUGUUUUUCUUGAGUAGUGCAGAGGUAGAUGGAAUUCCCGGUGUAGCGGUGGAAUGCGUAGAUAUCGGGAGGAACACCAGUGGCGAAGGCGGUCUACUGGGCACCAACUGACGCUGAGGCUCGAAAGCAUGGGUAGCAAACAGGAUUAGAUACCCUGGUAGUCCACACCGUAAACGAUGAUUACUAGGUGUUGGAGGAUUGACCCCUUCAGUGCCGCAGUUAACACAAUAAGUAAUCCACCUGGGGAGUACGACCGCAAGGUUGAAACUCAAAGGAAUUGACGGGGGCCCGCACAAGCAGUGGAGUAUGUGGUUUAAUUCGACGCAACGCGAAGAACCUUACCAAGUCUUGACAUCCCUUGACAGGCAUAGAAAUAUGUUUUCUCUUCGGAGCAAGGAGACAGGUGGUGCAUGGUUGUCGUCAGCUCGUGUCGUGAGAUGUUGGGUUAAGUCCCGCAACGAGCGCAACCCUUAUGGUCAGUUACUACGCAAGAGGACUCUGGCCAGACUGCCGUUGACAAAACGGAGGAAGGUGGGGAUGACGUCAAAUCAUCAUGCCCUUUAUGACUUGGGCUACACACGUACUACAAUGGCGUUAAACAAAGAGAAGCAAGACCGCAAGGUGGAGCAAAACUCAGAAACAACGUCCCAGUUCGGACUGCAGGCUGCAACUCGCCUGCACGAAGUCGGAAUUGCUAGUAAUCGUGGAUCAGCAUGCCACGGUGAAUACGUUCCCG
rnacentral:rRNA from 1 species